rfam:Cajanus cajan chromosome 9, whole genome shotgun sequence.
CUAUCAAGUGAUAACGUGGUAGAUGAACUGGCACGUCAUCACCCAACAGUGUUUGCCGCAUCAUCACCAUGUCCACGUGGCAGUCCCUUGGAUGACGUGGCAGACACUGUUGGGUGAUGACGUGCCAGUUCAUCUACCACGUUAUCACUUGAUAGAG